GAUCCUAGAUCAGCAAUCUAACUCUGGGACACUGCCUGUAUGAAACCGAACACAUAGUUGUAAAGUGUAGUUACAGCAGGUGUUUACUGCCAUCUAGUGGAUGAUACCAAUAAAACACUUUAUUUUCAGGGUGGGGAGGCGGCUGAUUGAAACCGAAAGUAAAGUUGUUCUUUUGUUCAGGAUCCAUUUUGAGACGACAGAGCAGAAAACACUACAUGGAGAUUAUUGAAAAAUAAAAACUCUGUGUCUCAGUGCCCUGCGACAGUGGGAAGUUCGUUUUGCAUGGCCCGGUGCUACAGGGGUCAGUGCUCUAAAAUGAGUCUCUCUGGGGAGAGAGAGGAGGGGGCCCUGCCUCUAAAAUGCAUCUCUCUGGGGGACAUGACACCAAAGCUAAGAGCGCCCGGCCCGGAUUCAAACCAGCCACCUUUCAGCCACAGGUCCAACUCCUGCCACAGCUCCAACUCCUGAGUUAAUCUUGGGAAAUUAGCAUAAAUUAAUCUGCCAAAAUGAAGACAAAAUGCUUUGGAGACAUACAUGGUAUCACUUGUUAUACAUAAGUAUUAUACAUAAAUCAUUGCCAAAAGCACAGGACAUAUAUUAUUUAUGGAUUGAUCAUAUCAAAUAUCAAAACAUUAUUUUAACUACUACAAAGCAUUUACAUGUGGCUCAGGAACCACUGACUCACUGCAUUGUUCUAUAGUAUUAUCAAGACACCUGCUGUUAACUCAGAAACUACUUAGGACAGCUCACGAGGUGUCCUAAAUAUCUGCUGACUAGGUGGGACUAGAGAUUUCAUGCAUAGCUUUAAUUUAUUCCCGGAAGUGUCAAAUGUCUUUAUUCUCAGCACUUAUACGACCACUUCUCUACUCUGAGACGCUUUGUGGAUAUGGGCCUAGAUCUCAAAAUAUUGUUAUAAAAAAAGUGGAACGUUUGUUUAACAUAAUAAUAAAAAAUGAAUAUUACUAAUGUAACCCACUGUAAAGACUGGGCUUAGUUGAUUGUGUUGCACUGCUCAUGUCCGCGUUCUGGAACUGUCCGAGUCCACGUCCUGUGUGGCACCAAGAAUAUUGUCCGGUUACGCGCAGAGUGGACUAAGGUAAAUUUUGGGGAAUAACGAUGGAGUUUGUUACAGUGUUGAAACGCCAAACUUUAUUGUUCAAUUAGCUUUUUGCUUUACGGUCAGGGACAGUAUGAGUGUAGCCAGAUCCUUUUCACUCUCUAUCCUUGUUUCAUUUUGUGGUUCACCGGAUUCGUCAUCAUCAUCGAGACAAACGACAGACGAACGUCCUGCUAGCGAGCCAAGCUAGUCGGUAAAGCUAGGUAAGCUAGCUAGCUACUCUACCAGCAGCAUCCUAGUUAUCCUAGCUAGUCGGUACAGCUAGGUAAGCUAGCUAGCUACUCUACCAGCAGCAUCCUAGUUAUCCUAGCUAGUCGGUACAGCUAGGUAAGC